rnacentral:lncRNA from 1 species
CUCUAGCCUUGGAUUAGUUAUGGAUUCAUUUAUUUGGUAGAAAGUAGAAACACUUGAAAUUCCAUCACCGACAAUCUAAUGGUUGUAUUUUCUUUCGUUUUUCUUGAAAGACUAAAUACCAUUAUUGUGUUUUGUUUCCACAUGGAUAAAAGAAAGGCAAAGGUAGCCCUGACCAUUAGCAACAAUUAGCACACUUCAGCUUUAUUGAAAGGAGACAUUUAACAUCAAUUGAAAUCAUUUUCCGACCUAUGAUGACGACAAGACAAGACACCUAAAAUAUAGACGGACCCAUACAUAUAUAUCCUAUCGAACCAUACCUUUCAAGGACUUUGAACUUUGACGCCAGAUUUGAACC